ensembl:lncRNA
AACACAGCUUGUAAACCGUUGCGGCGUUUUCCUCAGCUGGUGCGGCUCUGGGGCACGGGAAGAAACUAAGAGUCAAUCACUACAGCGGAAGUUCUAAGGAACUCCUUUCAUUGGCCAGGGGUCUUGGAAAAGCAAGUUUUGGUGCCACAUGCUUAAGAUUACAGUGAUGAAAAGAUGGAAUAAUUAUGGAUUCCUGAGAUGCUGCUUGGAAGAUAGCCUCCAAGAAGAGUCAAGCAUCCUGUGUUGAAAUAUGACACAAGCAAGAAAGCAACACAAAAAUAUGAUACUUUCUCCUCUUGAGCUGCUCAAAGUCAUCCAUGAGGAUUGGAAUCAACUUCUUCCAAACUCCUCCCAUGAAUCACUGAAGUUAUUAAUGGCACCUACAAAGGUGAAUUUUUCCAGAAGGUUUUCAGUUUCCUUUGUCCAUAUUCAUUGAAUGAAUUAUUUCUUAAAUAAUAAGAUUUAAAUGUUAAAUUACCAGUGGCUGAAGCCUGUAAUCCCAGCACUUUGGGAGGCCGAGGCGGGUGGAUCACGAGGUCAAGAGAUUGAGACCAUUCUGGUCAACAUGGUGAAACCCCGUCUGUACUAAAAAUACAAAAAUUAGCUGGGCAUGGUGGUGCGUGCCUGUAAUCCCAGCUACUCAGGAGGCUGAGGCAGGAGAAUCACCUGAACCCAGGAGGCGGAGGUUGUGGUGAGCCGAGAUCGCGUCAUUGCACUCCAGCUUGGGUAACAAGAGUGAAACUCCGUCUCAAAAAAAAAAAAAGUUAAAUUACUCCUCAAUUCAUGUGCUGCACAGUGGAUAUUGUGUUAACAGGGAUGAAACAACAUUAAUCUCUUGUGCAUCUCCAUUAGAGCUCUUGGGUCACGAGUCACGUUGUCAAUAAUAAGUACUCUUUUGAAAGGAAUCUAAUCUAAAGGAGCAAUAGGACUCAACAGCAGGGUUAAAAUAUUCAGCAAACCAUGCUGUAAAUAAAUUACACAUCACCCAGGCUUUGUUGUCCCACUUGUAGAGCAGAGGCAGAGUAGAUUUAUCAGAAUUCUCAAGUGCCCUAGAUUUUUCAGAAAUGUUUCAAUGAACACUGGUUUCAACUCUUAAGUCACCAGCUGCAUUACCCUGAAGCAAGAGUUAGCCUCUCUGAUUCUUUGAAGAUAGGUAUUGACUUCUUCUUAGCUAUGAAAGUCCAAGAAGGCAACAUCUUCCAAUAAAAGGCUAUUUUAUUUACAUUAAAAACCUGUUUCCUUAUGUAACCACCUUUAUUAAUUAUCUUAGCAAGAUGUUCUGGAUAACUUGUUACAGCUUCCAUAUCAGGACUUGCUGCUUAAUCUUGCAUUUUUAUGUGAUGGAGAUUGCUUCUUCACUUCUACCUUGUGAGCCAACCUCUGUUUGCUUCAAAGGUUAUUUAUUUAUUUAUUUUUAAAAAUUUUGGCAGCUUUCUUACAUUUCUUUGCCUUCAUAGAAUUUAAGAGAGUUAGGGCCUUACUCUGGAUUGUUUUGACUUA